GGAAGGGAAUUGAAAAUGAAAGUAGAAAAUAUGAGAGAAAAAAAGGGAAGGGAAAGAGGAAAGGUAGGUGUAGACCCCUUAAAAACUAAAGGAGAGAAUAGUUUUCCCUUAGGUUUUGGGACCACUCGGGGAGAGGCUUUGCUUCAGCAUUUUUAUUUUUUUUUUGAAAGUUAGAGGAGGGACAACUCCCAUGAACCCGGCUGCAUUGGAUGUGUGGCAAGGGAGAAUGGCUGCCCAUGAAGGUGGCUGCAAGGCCAUGCUUGCUGACGAGAGGAGCAGUAGAGUUGGUAGUGGCUUGCUGAGCAAGAGAGGGACGAGGGUAAGAAGGGAAGGAGGAAAAGAAAGAGAGAGGAGGCUGCUGUGGAGAGGGUUUAGAGAGGUUCUCUGAGUUAGAGGAAGAAGUUUGGUCGGAAGCAGGGUAGCAGACUGAUUUUUUGGAGAAAAGCUUGGAGUCCUGUUGGUUUUUGCUGGAAAAAAACUUCCUCAGAAAUUGGUCCUCUUUCAACACAUCAAAGUUACAAACAAGAGCAAAGCAGAACAUCCAUCCCAGUAUCUGAUCAAAUAUGCCUGCGUUCACUGGAUGCCACUGUAAUCAUCUCUACUGGAUUCUUCAAAUGUUGCGAAAACCAAGUCAUAAAUUUAAAAUCCUUGGAAAUUGCAAAGUUUGAGCCGCCACCUCCCCUAAUUAUAAUGAUUUUCUUCUCCAGCCAUCAAGUCAUGCAGAGAGAUGUGAUUCACCAGCAAAGGCAUUCCAUGAAGGGUACACUGUUGUACUUGAAAACAGAAAUAGUUUACAGCGCUCAAUUACCUGGGUGUAUUUGACAAAAAGAAUCAGAUAAAAAAAUUGGACUAACCAACCUCUUAAAACUACAACCUCUAUUUCGCCCUUCUUUCCAUAUCAUCUACUAGAGUUCAUAAUGAAUUGAUUGCUCUUGCCCUGACAUGAACUUCUCAUUGUGAGCCAUGACUUUCAAGUUGCUGACAUUUUCUA